rnacentral:lncRNA from 1 species
CAUUUAAUACCUAAAAAUAAUUGAUCAAGUGCUCCUCAUAUACACUUGCACUUAGCUAGUGUAUUUUCUAUGAUGAUCACAUAUAUCAGUCUCAGCCAGCCUUGCUGUUUCUAAAGUUGCCUUUGAUUAGCUUCACCCUAGCAAGGGGUGCUGACAAUUGUCUGUGCUCCAAACCAGCUGGAUACAAGGUAGUUCUUGCUCAAAAGUCGUGUGGCAGAGUUACUGGAAAAAGGAGCUGAAGCUACUGUAUCCCACCUUUUGCUUCAGCUGCCAAAUGGCCAACAGGAAAGAAAGGAGGAGUAACACAUAAGAGAACAUAAUAUGAUAUUGUGAGAGAUGCAGGUGAGUCUCUUUUCUCACAAUAACAUUUUAAAUUUGUAUUCAUGUUGUCUAGGCAAAAAUGGAAUCUCCAGAUCAAAAUGAAUAAACUUUUCUAAAUUGUUUGUUUGUUCUAGAGC